ACGAACGCUGGCGGCAUGCCUAACACAUGCAAGUCGAACGAGACCUUCGGGUCUAGUGGCGCACGGGUGCGUAACGCGUGGGAACCUGCCCUUAGGUUCGGAAUAACUCCCCGAAAGGGGUGCUAAUACCGGAUAAUGUCUUCGGACCAAAGAUUUAUCGCCUUUGGAUGGGCCCGCGUUGGAUUAGCUAGUUGGUAGGGUAAAAGCCUACCAAGGCGACGAUCCAUAGCUGGUCUGAGAGGAUGAUCAGCCACACUGGGACUGAGACACGGCCCAGACUCCUACGGGAGGCAGCAGUGGGGAAUAUUGGACAAUGGGCGAAAGCCUGAACCAGCAAUGCCGCGUGAGUGAUGAAGGCCUUAGGGUUGUAAAGCUCUUUUACCCGGGAUGAUAAUGACAGUACCGGGAGAAUAAGCUCCGGCUAACUCCGUG
rnacentral:rRNA from 1 species